GCUGCCUCUCACGGGUCAGGGUGAGAAUGCAGAAAUCAGACUAUUCCUACGUCCAAAGAUGUAAUCCUGUGGAGUUAACAAAAUGAAGGACUGCGUUCACCGUCCAAAACACUGUAUUACUCCUGAAUGGAAGCAGAGCACAGCCAGAGGAGGAGCUACACAACUGAAUAUGAAAGGCUUCAUGUUGGAGCUGAAGAGCUGCUGUGUUCUCUCUGUUGUUCAUUCAGUACAAAUGAAAAUAAUGUUACUGCUUCUCAUCUGGAUGAUGAUCGUCUCCUUUCAAACUGGAUCCUCUGAGGAUGUUCUAACUCCAUUUAAAGAUGUAUUGAUGGCUUUGGAAGGAGAAUCUGUGACUCUCUCCUGUAAUUAUUCAGGCUCGGUUGACUACCUCUACUGGUA